UACGUAGGGGGCCAGCGUUGCUCGGAAUUACUGGGCGUAAAGGGUCCGUAGGCGGUGCGGCAAGUCGAGAGUGAAAUCCCUAGGCUUAACCUAGGGGCUGCUAGCGAAACUGCCGUGCUAGAGUGUGAGAGAGGCGAGUGGAAUUACGGGUGUAGCGGUGAAGUGCGUAGAUAUCCGUAGGAACAUCCGAGGCGAAGGCGGCUCGCUGGAUCACAACUGACGCUGAGGGACGAAAGCUAGGGGAGCAAACAGG
rnacentral:rRNA from 1 species